rnacentral:rRNA from 1 species
GGUGAAUGCUGGCGGCGUGGAUAAGUCAUGCAAGUCAAGGGGGCCCAGUGUAGCAAUACGUUGGGCAACCGGCAGACGAGGUAGUAAUACGCAGGUACGCACCGAAAAGUCGGGCAUAGCCAGCCGAAAGGUUGGGUAAUUCCCGAUGUGGUAGCGAUACUAAAGGAGCAAUCCGCUUUUUGAGCGGCCUGCGGGGCAUCAGCUAGUUGGUACGGUAACGGCGUACCAAGGCGACGACGCCUAGGGGACCUGAGAGGGUGACCCCCACCGAUAGCACUGAGACACGGGCUAUACACCUACGGGUGGCUGCAGACGAGAAUAUUCCGCAAUGGGCGAAAGCCUGACGGAGCGACGCCGCGUGAUUGAUGAAGUCCUUCGGGACGUAAAGAUCUUUUAUGCGUGAAAAAGUAAUUGAUAUCAGCGCAUGAAUAAGGGGCUCCUAACUCUGUGC